rfam:Triticum aestivum genome assembly, contig: Triticum_aestivum_CS42_TGACv1_scaffold_342742_4DL
GAGCUACUCUCUCCGUUCGGAAUUACUUGUCGCGGAAAUGGAUGUAUCAACAUAUUUUAGUUUUAGAUACAUCCAUUUCCGAGACAAGUAAUUCAGAACGGAGGGAGUAGAUA